AUUGAACGCUGGCGGCAGGCUUAACACAUGCAAGUCGAACGAGUGGCGGACGGGUGAGUAAUGCCUGGGAAACUGCCUUAUGGAGGGGGAUAACUACUGGAAACGGUAGCUAAUACCGCAUACCAUCAGAUGUGCCCAGAUGGGAUUAGCUAGUUGGUGGGGUAACGGCUCACCAAGGCGACGAUCCCUAGCUGGUCUGAGAGGAUGACCAGCCACACUGUGACUGAGACACGGCCCCGACGCCUACGGGAGGCAGCAGUGGGGAAUAUUGCACAAUGGGGGCAAGCCUGAUGCAGCCAUGCCGCGUGUAUGAAGAAGGCCUUCGGGUUGUAAAGUACUUUCAGCGAGGAGGCGUUACCCGCAGAAGAAGCACCGGCUAACUCCGUGCCAGCCGCCGCGGUAAUUC
rnacentral:rRNA from 1 species